CCUACGGGUGGCAGCAGUGAGGAAUAUUGGUCAAUGGACGAGAGUCUGAACCAGCCAAGUAGCGUGAAGGAUGACUGCCCUAUGGGUUGUAAACUUCUUUUAUAUGGGAAUAAAACGUUCCACGUGUGGGAUUUUGUAUGUACCAUAUGAAUAAGGAUCGGCUAACUCCGUGCCAGCAGCCGCGGUAAUACGGAGGAUCCGAGCGUUAUCCGGAUUUAUUGGGUUUAAAGGGAGCGUAGGUGGAUUGUUAAGUCAGUUGUGAAAGUUUGCGGCUCAACCGUAAAAUUGCAGUUGAAACUGGCAGUCUUGAGUACAGUAGAGGUGGGCGGAAUUCGUUGUGUAGCGGUGAAAUGCUUAGAUAUCACGAAGAACUCCGAUUGCGAAGGCAGUUCACUGGACUGCAACUGACACUGAGGCUCGAAAGUGUGGGUAUCAAACAGGAUUAGAUACCCUUGUAGUC
rnacentral:rRNA from 1 species